GCUCUUCCUCAAACCCCGUUUCGAUCUUUCUCUUCCUCAGCUCAAUUCGGCAACUUCGUGGUGACAGUGAUGGCAGGAUGCGACGGCGACGGUGGUACCGGGCCGGCGAUGCUCUUCUUCCCUUCCGCCGGCGCUAUCUCUUCCUCCGAUCUCCUCUCUGCGCGUGUGUGUGUUUGUUACGUUAAGGAAGGGUAAGGCUGUGGCUGUGUGGUGAGGGAAGCUAGGGUUAG